AUCAUUACGGGUCCGGGCCGGGCCGGGAGUAGGUUAUGCUCUUUGUUUUUGGCCACUUGCAGAUUUCGACUUGGAAACACGUAGCGAGUGUUGAACCUCAACAACCAUAUGGCGGAGCGGAAAAGAUCAUCAUGAUCAAAAGGCGAUACUGGAAUCGAGGAUAUGGAGGGGUUACCUGGACGCCGUCAAUCACACAACGAUCUCCUAUGUCGAAAGGAUGCAUCACGAAGACAAAGACAAUGGACUCAAACACAGUCUUGCACAUGUUCUGGAAUGUGAAUCCCAGGAGAAGCAACUGAGUAAGGAUGAAGGCUAUAAUUUUGGUGGAAGCAACUCCCAUGACCAUGAGCGUUUCUACUACAAUGAUCACACUGACAAUGGCACUGGCUAGUUUGUGAAGCUGCUGCACUGCUGUCUUUGUGUCGUUUAAGGAAUGCGCUAAGGAUUUUCGCUCGUAAUAAGCUCGAACCUACGAUUCACCAGAGUUACAAGGCUAUUCAAUCUGUCAUCAGAUGACUCAAGACACUUUGGAAUCAAUAAACACUUACCACCCAAUUUCUGAAAACGGAUUUGGUGAUCUUUCCGGUCUCCAGAGCACCCUCAAAGAGCGGAAAUAUUGUAUGAAUCUCCACUCUCUUCAAGAAUCUCAUCAGAUCUUCUUCCUCAAUGUACCUACAGAGCAGAGCCAGCAAAAAUGAAUUAACUCAAAGCUCCAACAAAAUUUGAGGCAUCGAGGGGGAAGCUUCUGUGAGUAAAAUUGUAGUAGCAUUAAUUUCUACAGCUCUAGUGGCAUUUAGACACGUGUGUCAAUGUGGUAAUGGAUUCCUUUGUGAGAAAUUAAAAUUAUAUGGACCAUAUAUAAUGUGCAUGUAUGAAGCUAGUGGCUAUCUUGUCUUUCUAAUCGAGGAAAUUUUCAGGGGACAAACGUAGUACGACAAGGUGGUGGGUUGACUCAUCAGGUGUUUCUUGACGUCAUGUUCAUAUCAGCGAAUAGUCAAUGCUUUUAUUCUUAUUGUGUAGGGUGGCUUUUAUGACUUUAAGUGACCUGUACGGAACAGGAAUAAUUACGCACGAUGUGUAAUGAAACAGCAUGUAGUGGGUGGGACAAAGUGCGCAUGCAGAAAUUUAUGAAAUGAGGUUUAUAUGGAAUGUAUGUUCAAUUGGGAGCUGUGGGUAUACCUUAAUUAUACUCUAAAGUGACUGGUGCAAUCAUUGUGUUUUCUUGAUUUAUUAGUAAAAUGAAUAGUGCCGGCAUUAUUAACCUAGCAUCCUAUGUAAACUUAAAUAAUGACAUGUCUGUAUGCAUGCAUAUAUUAGAUUAUAAUUAUAAUAAAUAAUUAAUGCAAUAAUAAUAAUAAUAAUAAUAAUAAUAAUUACUUGGCGCCUGGUUUGGCCACGUUCUUGAAGAUCCUCUUGGCGCAGUUCCUGGCUUCCCAUUCGCUACUGAUUUCCGACUCCUCCGUCCGGCCAAAUUCGUCCACCGUCCUUGAGAUCGUCGUCAAGCCGAACGAUCUCACGUAGCUCACAAGUCGCUUCACCGUCCACGCCGACGCCGUGCUCUGCAUGCUCAGCUUCCUCAGUUUCUCGAUGUCGAUUUUGCGCGUCGCCGAUCGCUUUGACAAGGAUAAAACCCUAGAUUGCCUCAACUUCGCCGGGAGCGAUUUCGAUGCCCCUAGGUUCCGCGAGUGCGCCUCCUCGUACGCCGCGUCGUCCAUCGGCGGACCUGACAGUGUCUCGAGGACGUAGUGGUGGAACACGCUCUCCUUCAUCCGGUCGAAGUAUGUCGCGACGUGGAAAGAGGAUGCCAGGACUUUGACGAGCACGAUUUUGAUCAGCCAGAUUGUUGCGCCGAUUUGGACCGCAAUUAGGGCGUGGAACACCUUCCUGAUCAAGGAGUUGUUCUUGUGGAGUUUGGCGUUGAAGAUGAAGAUCCAGGCGACGAGGACGAGCCCUAGCCACACGCAGUUCUGGAUGCUCUUGCGGAGGCCAUAGACGAAGUACAGAACCUUCUCUCGGAGCAUGAAGUUUCGUUCGAUGACGAAAGUAGCGAUUUUAAUGAUCCAGCCCGAGACGAGCCGGCCGCUGAAAAUCACGAGGAUCAUGAGACACCAUCGCCAUAGCUGGAGUCCACACUUGAGCUGGUGCUUCAGCGACGAAAUCGUCAUCGAGCAGAUCAAGCUUGUGGUAAUCAUCAGAAAUAGGAUCCACUCGAUCAAAAUCCUCCACCGGAUUCUGGGGACGCUUUCGAUUUCAUUGGAUUCAGGCACGGAUUUGUGGUUAGCAGCAGCUGGAAGGGAGAACUCCACGAACCGAGACUUUGGUUUCGAGAAGCUCAAACGACGUAGCCUCGAGACAUUUGAAGAAGGCUGCUUAUUGGUUUGAUCUUGUGAUGAUUCAAAUACCUACAAAUGCUACAGCAAGCUCGCAUGGCAUAUAUAGAAGAGCACUACAGGCAGGGCAAAAAUGGAAGAUCAGAUUGGAUCAAUAUCAUCCAGAAUUAGUGUACUGCAUGCAGCACAGGCACAAAACACAGUACCAGUGAUUAAGAUUUAAGCCUAGUGGGCUACAGUAGCAAGCACGUGGAUCAAAACUCAAUGGACAAUGGAAAGAGGUAAAAAGUGAAAAAGCUUUUGUGGGGUUCGACAAUUGUUUUCAAAGCUUCAGAGUCAAUGAUGGAGGAAAGAAAGCCUAACAGCAGUUUCAGUAGUGCGCAGAAUUUUGCUUGGAGGAUGAAUACCACAGUUUCCUCUGGCAGAUCAACAGCUUCUCUGUCUCCACGCCGAACUCCGUGUCUUCCUUUCGGCAACUCCAUCUUGUCCCCUUCGCAAUGGUUGCAACCGCGUCCACAAAGUAGCUGGAUUCCCGGAUGAUUGCGUACCCAUUAGGCCUGAGAAUACGGUCCAUCUCCAGCACAAUAUGCUUCAUUUCACACCUGCAGGGAGAAGUUCAAGUGAGAACUGAAGCAAGACAACAUAGUGUUGAAGUGAUGGCUACAAUGAAGCUGCUGCUGCUGCCUACCGGUGGCUUUCAGCUGUGAAAAGCCCGUCAAGAUGGAGGAGAUCGUAUGUUCGAGGAUAUGUCGAGAAAGCCUCACACCUAGCAAGAUUAUAUACACAUCGGUCAUCACACAAUCAAAAUGGUUCCGAUGAGCCCUCUAUCGUACACCACAGCAAGUGUGUUUGGAGCAUAUGACGAAACAACAUUCAUCACCCACAGGGGAUCAUCGAUCAAAGCUGCAGCAAAUCCUCCGUACAGAGUGUUCAUAUCCAUGACAUUUCUAAUCUUAUUCGUUCCUAGAGCUGGGAGUACCUUCUUGUAGUGCUUAACCCUCCUCUUCCACUUACUGUCGUCAUGCUUGAAAGUUCCAGCAUUGCCGUGAGAAUAAGCGACACGUUCAGGCGCAGCAUGCAGUCGUUCAGGCCAUUUCGGGAGAGACUUCAAUGCCACUUUUUUAAAACUCGGAUUAGGGGGAACAAGACAGGCCCGAAUUGGAGUGUACCAUCCAGAAUCAGGCUCGGCGCCAUCAUCACAUUUUGGGGGAUAAUUAUCCGGGGCCUCGAACUUCUUGUAGCAGGUAUUAGAAGAAGAUUUUUGCCAAACAGCAAUGUCAUCUUUCUUAUUAUACAAUUUGAAGCACAUUGAUGUCAGCAGUUCUUGCAGUUUCUCAUAGUUCAAUUUCUGCUCUUCAAUGGUUGUGUUCCAUCCCUUCCACCGAUUCUCAUAGUUUACAGGAGGGCCCGACAGCACCCAAAACCCCCCCGGCCGGAGAAUUCGACUCACCUCUAAAAGCUACAUGAUGACGAUCAUAUACGUUGGAGAAAGUCGAAGUUACCGAAUUCAGUCCAUGGAAUGAGGCAGCGCGAGCAGUGCGCGAUGUCGAAGGAGUUGGAAGGAAAGGGAAGUCUCUGCGUUGAAAUGAUGCCAAGAAUCGCAGGAAUCCCGCGCUCCAGGGCGAAUUGAACUUGAGCUUGAUGAUUAUCCCUCGGAGCAAGAGAGACUGUAAGAAUCCCUCGAUCCAGUAGGUCGCCUCCCCAGCUCGCAACCUAAACAGAUAUGGAGCAAGAAAAUGUUACAGAACAUUGCAGCAUGAAUUGAAGCAUGUAAGAAACGUCGACUCACCCCACAUCCGGUGUCAAUGGCAGUCCUUAUCGUGCCAUCUUUCAUUCCCGGGAUCAAAUCCUGCAUCAGGUCGACGUAAUGGCUGACGCCGUCUGGGAACAUAGUGCCGCCUCCAGGGAAGAUGAACUUGUCCCCUUCUUUCUUCAGCCAAUGUUGAUUCGACUUCUGUUUGUUGAUCCAAUCGUAGGGAACGUUCCUGAGCACACAGACAACAAGUCAUAUGUUGCUGCAACAUGUGAAAAACAGAGCUCUGUUUUUUGAAGACAAGAAUUCUGUCCAUACCUGUACCAACAUUCGUCUUUGCUCUUCGGCCAUCUGAUCGGUUCCUUGUAGCCAUCGGGAGGGGGGACUAAGCAUUCUUUCUUUUCGAACACCGGAGGGCAGUGGCGCUCCAUGUAAGAAAGCCUAUGAGCACUGAACUUCUUCCACCUCUGCAGCAAUGAAAAUAGCGUCGUCGCGUUAUUUUUAUUACAUCGCACAACCUUAAAGCGCGACAUAAGUUGCAGAGGAUCGAUUCGAUCACCUUAGGAUCGGUGCAUGGAGUGUGAUCCUGAAACUCCGGUCCGCAUUCGGGGAAGUUCACAGCCUUGAUUUGCAGGGGUCUUACAAUGUUUGGCUUUGAAGUUUCGACAGCUUUCGCAUUGUCCCGAGCUACAUAUUUGUCCUUCUCAGAACAAAAGAUUGCACCAAGAUAGAAAGAGAAUCCACACAAGACAAAGAACAUUAUGGCCAUAGGUAUUCCUCUGGAACUCUUAUCCACUUGCAAGAAAGUUUUGCCAUUGUUCUUCAUCAUGCUGACCUUCCCCUAAAAAGCUGCAAGAAAUGAAUACGAAAUCAAGAUUCUAGUAUUUUUACCAAUCAA